UCUGGCGGCCAUAGCGGAGGAGCCACACCCGUUCCCAUCCCGAACACGGAAGUUAAGCCCUCCCGCGCCGAUGAUACUGCCCGCGCUGGAAAGUAGGGCGCCGCCAGAC
rnacentral:rRNA from 1 species